rnacentral:rRNA from 1 species
CCAACAGGGAUUGCCCUAGCAACGGCGAGUGAAGCGGCAACAGCUCAAAAUUUGAAAUCUGGCGCAAGCCCGAGUUGUAAUUUGUAGAGGAUGCUUCUGGGUAGCGGCCGGUCUAAGUUCCUUGGAACAGGACGUCAUAGAGGGUGAGAAUCCCGUAUGUGACUGGUUGGCGCCCUCCACGUAGCUCCUUCGACGAGUCGAGUUGUUUGGGAAUGCAGCUCUAAAUGGGUGGUAAAUUUCAUCUAAAGCUAAAUACCGGCCAGAGACCGAUAGCGCACAAGUAGAGUGAUCGAAAGAUGAAAAGCACUUUGGAAAGAGAGUUAAAAAGCACGUGAAANUGUUGAAAGGGAAGCGCUU